GUCUGCUGACCGCUGGCAACCGAAACUGUUGAUAAUGGCGACUACCACUGUCUGGGUUAAUAGGAGAGAGGUUUUCUUUUGUAAUUGCCUCAGACUUGUAGAAAAUUACUUUGGGCAGAAUUAAGAGUGAAAUACCAUAUUUUGGGGGGAGGGGGAUUGACUUGUGAAAAUAACAAAAGUGGUUCAGAGGCGACCCUUUGAAGUGGGGUUGAAAAAGCACCUGAAUUAUAAUAGUUAGGUCCAUGCUAUGGUUAGGUUGACUUUAAACAGGGUUGAACGCCAGUGACAUCAGAAUAUAUUGUUAAAAUGGUAGUGUCAUCGGAAAAAGUGCUUUGUUUUUCAGUGUGAUUAAUUUUGGAGGAUUAACACCAAGGCUUGGUCUUUUCCCAGCAGCACUGGGGGAGCUUGGACACAAGGAGAUCUUUGCUCUGGUCAAGGAGGAUGAGGGCCGGGAAUCUUGAACUCCACUGAAGGAUGAAGAAGCUGAACUUUAGGACAGAUACUUAUUGAAAGCUUACUGUGUGUCAGGUACCCACCAGGCUGGACACUGGCAGCUAAUUGUAUUGAAAAUAUUACUAUAUAUACAUGGAAAAUGUAUUCAUGGAAUAAAAU